rnacentral:rRNA from 1 species
AGAGUUUGAUCCUGGCUCAGGAUGAACGCUGGCGGCAUGCCUAAUACAUGCAAGUCGAACGAAGUCUUUAGGAAGCUUGCUUCCAAAGAGACUUAGUGGCGAACGGGUGAGUAACACGUAGGUAACCUGCCCAUGUGCCCGGGAUAACUGCUGGAAACGGUAGCUAAAACCGGAUAGGUAUGAGGGAGGCAUCUUCCUCAUAUUAAAGCACCUUCGGGUGUGAACAUGGAUGGACCUGCGGCGCAUUAGCUGGUUGGUGAGGUAACGGCCCACCAAGGCGAUGAUGCGUAGCCGACCUGAGAGGGUGAACGGCCACAUUGGGACUGAGACACGGCCCAAACUCCUACGGGAGGCAGCAGUAGGGAAUUUUCGUCAAUGGGGGGAACCCUGAACGAGCAAUGCCGCGUGUGUGAAGAAGGUCUUCGGAUCGUAAAGCACUGUUGUAAGUGAAGAACGCCACAUAGAGGAAAUGCUAUGUGGGUGACGGUAGCUUACCAGAAAGCCACGGCUAACUACGUGCCAGCAGCCGCGGUAAUACGUAGGUGGCAAGCGUUAUCCGGAAUCAUUGGGCGUAAAGGGUGCGUAGGUGGCACGAUAAGUCUGAAGUAAAAGGCAACAGCUCAACUGUUGUAUGCUUUGGAAACUGUCGAGCUAGAGUGCAGAAGAGGGCGAUGGAAUUCCAUGUGUAGCGGUAAAAUGCGUAGAUAUAUGGAGGAACACCAGUGGCGAAGGCGGUCGCCUGGUCUGUAACUGACACUGAUGCACGAAAGCGUGGGGAGCAAAUAGGAUUAGAUACCCUAGUAGUCCACGCCGUAAACGAUGAGAACUAAGUGUUGGAGAGAUUCAGUGCUGCAGUUAACGCAAUAAGUUCUCCGCCUGGGGAGUAUGCACGCAAGUGUGAAACUCAAAGGAAUUGACGGGGGCCCGCACAAGCGGUGGAGU